rnacentral:tRNA from 1 species
GCCGGGGUAGCUCAGCCUGGUUGGAGCGCCCGUCCGGGUCCUGGGGCGAGACUCAUAAUCGGGAGGUCGCGGGUUCAAAUCCCGCCCCCGGCA